CUGGGUGGAUUAGUGGCGAACGGGUGAGUAACACGUGAGUAACCUGCCCCUGACUCUGGGAUAAGCGUUGGAAACGACGUCUAAUACUGGAUACGACUACUGGCCGCAUGGUCUGGUGGUGGAAAGAUUUUUUGGUUGGGGAUGGACUCGCGGCCUAUCAGCUUGUUGGUGAGGUAAUGGCUCACCAAGGCGACGACGGGUAGCCGGCCUGAGAGGGUGACCGGCCACACUGGGACUGAGACACGGCCCAGACUCCUACGGGAGGCAGCAGUGGGGAAUAUUGCACAAUGGGCGAAAGCCUGAUGCAGCAACGCCGCGUGAGGGAUGACGGCCUUCGGGUUGUAAACCUCUUUUAGUAGGGAAGAAGCGAAAGUGACGGUACCUGCAGAAAAAGCACCGGCUAACUACGUGCCAGCAGCCGCGGUAAUACGUAGGGUGCAAGCGUUGUCCGGAAUUAUUGGGCGUAAAGAGCUCGUAGGCGGUUUGUCGCGUCUGCUGUGAAAUCCCGAGGCUCAACCUCGGGCUUGCAGUGGGUACGGGCAGACUAGAGUGCGGUAGGGGAGAUUGGAAUUCCUGGUGUAGCGGUGGAAUGCGCAGAUAUCAGGAGGAACACCGAUGGCGAAGGCAGAUCUCUGGGCCGUAACUGACGCUGAGGAGCGAAAGCGUGGGGGAGCGAACAGGAUUAGAUACCCUGGUAGUCCACGCCGUAAACGUUGGGCGCUAGAUGUAGGGACCUUUCCACGGUUUCUGUGUCGUAGCUAACGCAUUAAGCGCCCCGCCUGGGGAGUACGGCCGCAAGGCUAAAACUCAAAGGAAUUGACGGGGGCCCGCACAAGCGGCGGAGCAUGCGGAUUAAUUCGAUGCAACGCGAAGAACCUUACCAAGGCUUGACAUACACCGGAAACGGCCAGAGAUGGUUGCCCCCUUGUGGUCGGUGUACAGGUGGUGCAUGGUUGUCGUCAGCUCGUGUCGUGAGAUGUUGGGUUAAGUCCCGCAACGAGCGCAACCCUCGUUCUAUGUUGCCAGCGCGUUAUGGCGGGGACUCAUAGGAGACUGCCGGGGUCAACUCGGAGGAAGGUGGGGAUGACGUCAAAUCAUCAUGCCCCUUAUGUCUUGGGCUUCACGCAUGCUACAAUGGCCGGUACAAAGGGCUGCGAUACCGUAAGGUGGAGCGAAUCCCAAAAAGCCGGUCUCAGUUCGGAUUGAGGUCUGCAACUCGACCUCAUGAAGUCGGAGUCGCUAGUAAUCGCAGAUCAGCAACGCUGCGGUGAAUACGUUCCCGGGCCUUGUACACACCGCCCGUCAAGUCAUGAAAGUCGGUAACACCCGAAGCCG
rnacentral:rRNA from 1 species